rnacentral:rRNA from 1 species
GUAGGUGAACCUGCAGAAGAGAUCA